CCUACGGGGCGCAGCAGUCGGGAAUAUUGCGCAAUGGAGGAAACUCUGACGCAGUGACGCCGCGUGCAGGAAGAAGGUUUUCGGAUUGUAAACUGCUUUAGACAGGGAAGAAAAAAGACAGUACCUGUAGAAUAAGCUCCGGCUAACUACGUGCCAGCAGCCGCGGUAAUACGUAGGGAGCAAGCGUUAUCCGGAUUUAUUGGGUGUAAAGGGUGCGUAGACGGAGAAGCAAGUUAGUUGUGAAAUCCCUCGGCUUAACUGAGGAACUGCAACUAAAACUACUUCCCUUGAGUACUGGAGAGGAAAGUGGAAUUCCUUGUGUAGCGGUGAAAUGCGUAGAUAUAAGGAAGAACACCAGUGGCGAAGGCGGAUGACUGGACGGCAACUGACGGUGAGGCGCGAAAGCGUGGGGAGCAAACAGGAUUAGAUACCCGAGUAGUC
rnacentral:rRNA from 1 species